GUAGGUGAACCUGCGGAAGGAUCAUUACCGAGUUAGGGUCUUAUAGGCCCGACCUCCAACCCUUUGUUUACUAUACCAUGUUGCUUUGGCAGGCCCGCCUUUCGGCCGCCGGGGUUGCCCCUGGUCAGUGCUUGCCAGUGGCCUUAUUAAAUUCUUUUAUAAUUAUGUUGUCUGAGUAUAAAUAUUAAUAGUUAAAACUUUCAACAACGGAUCUCUUGGUUCUG
rnacentral:misc_RNA from 1 species